GAUGAACGCUAGCGGCAGGCCUAACACAUGCAAGUCGAGGGGUAGAACACUUCGGUGUUUGAGACCGGCGCACGGGUGCGUAACGCGUAUGCAAUCUACCUUGUACAGGGGAAUAGCCCAGAGAAAUUUGGAUUAAUGCCCCAUAGUAUAUAACCUUCGCAUGUUGGUUAUAUUAAAGUUCCAACGGUACAAGAUGAGCAUGCGUCCCAUUAGUUAGUUGGUAAGGUAACGGCUUACCAAGACGAUGAUGGGUAGGGGUCCUGAGAGGGAAAUCCCCCACGCGGGGACUGAGACACGAACCAGACUCCUACGGGAGGCAGCAGUGAGGAAUAUUGGUCAAUGGGCGCAAGCCUGAACCAGCCAUGCCGCGUGCAGGAAGACGGUCCUAUGGAUUGUAAACUGCUUUUAUACAGGAAAAAACCCUCCCACGUGUGGGAGAUUGACGGUACUGUAGGAAUAAGGAUCGGCUAACUCCGUGCCAGCAGCCGCCGUAACAC
rnacentral:rRNA from 1 species